GACAGAGGGUGCAAUCGUUGUUCGGAAUUACUGGGCGUAAAGCGCGCGUAGGCGGCUUUGCAAGUCGGGUGUGAAAUCCCCAGGCUUAACCUGGGAACUGCAUUCGAGACUGCAUUGCUAGAGUAUGGGAGAGGGAAGUGGAAUUUCCGGUGUAGCGGUGAAAUGCGUAGAUAUCGGAAGGAACAUCAGUGGCGAAAGCGACUUCCUGGACCAAUACUGACGCUCAUGUGCGAAAGCGUGGGGAGCAAACAGG
rnacentral:rRNA from 1 species